GUGCCAGCCGCCGCGGUAAUACAGAGGGUGCGAGCGUUAAUCGGAAUUACUGGGCGUAAAGCGCGCGUAGGCGGUUUUGUAAGUCGGGUGUGAAAGCCCCGGGCUCAACCUGGGAACUGCAUUCGAGACUGCAUUACUAGAGUAUGGGAGAGGGCAGUGGAAUUUCCGGUGUAGCGGUGAAAUGCGUAGAUAUCGGAAGGAACAUCAGUGGCGAAAGCGACUGCCUGGCCCAAUACUGACGCUCAUGUGCGAAAGCGUGGGGAGCAAACAGGAUUAGAAACCCUGGUAGUCC
rnacentral:rRNA from 1 species